rnacentral:rRNA from 1 species
GAACGAGUUAUCUGAACCUUCGGGGAACGAUAACGGCGUCGAGCGGCGGACGGGUGAGUAAUGCCUAGGAAAUUGCCCUGAUGUGGGGGAUAACCAUUGGAAACGAUGGCUAAUACCGCAUAAUGCCUACGGGUCAAAGAGGGGGACCUUCGGGCCUCUCGCGUCAGGAUAUGCCUAGGUGGGAUUAGCUAGUUGGUGAGGUAAUGGCUCACCAAGGCGACGAUCCCUAGCUGGUCUGAGAGGAUGAUCAGCCACACUGGAACUGAGACACGGUCCAGACUCCUACGGGAGGCAGCAGUGGGGAAUAUUGCACAAUGGGCGCAAGCCUGAUGCAGCCAUGCCGCGUGUGUGAAGAAGGCCUUCGGGUUGUAAAGCACUUUCAGUCGUGAGGAAGGUAGUGUAGUUAAUAGCUGCAUUAUUUGACGUUAGCGACAGAAGAAGCACCGGCUAACUCCGUGCCAGC